UACGUAGGGACCAAGCGUUGUUCGGAUUUACUGGGCGUAAAGAGCGCGUAGGCGGCAUAUUAAGUCAGCUGUGAAAUCUCCGAGCUUAACUCGGAACUGUCAGCUGAUACUGAUGUGCUAGAGUGCAGAAAGGGCAAUCAGAAUUCUUGGAGUAGCGGUGAAAUGCGUAGAUAUCAAGAGGAAUACCGGAGGCGAAGGCGGGUUGCUAGGCUGAAACUGACGCUGAGGCGCGAAAGCCAGGGGAGCAAACGGG
rnacentral:rRNA from 1 species